rnacentral:tRNA from 1 species
GGAAUUGUGCCUGAAGUAAAGGGCCACUUUGAUAGAGUGAAUCAUGAAGGUUAGACUCCUUCCAAUUCCU